UAAACAUUGGUGCAUGGAGAGGAUUCUCUUAGUUACUGGAUGAAAAUAAAACCUUGCCAUAUGAGCAGUUUAACAAAGUUCGCAUUUUAUACUUCAAGAACAUGAGAAUCAGGGAGAUAACAUAGCUGUCUCAAGCAUCCGAAAAACCAACAAUGUAGCGGAAGAAAAACACGGAUUCUGUGUGGCCCAGCAAGGCACGUGAAAACCGAAGGAUAGAAAUUACAGUGGAGAAAGAGAGGAAUGCUGGGAACACCCUCGGCGGAAGAAUGCGGGGAACGCUCGUCCGAGAGAGGCAUUCUGGGAACACAGAGAAACAAGACCGGAGCGUGCUGCCAGGGAGGAAUCCUGGGAAUAUGAUUUAAAAGAGGGGGACGCCCGGAACCUACGUCCGAGGAAGAGGCGGAUGCCUCAACGCUGCAUCAGAGAGGGAAACCAAAAACCUUCUUUCAGAGACAGACGUGGGGUGGGGUUAGGGUGGAUUCCGGAACACUCCCACAGGGAUGCCGGGAACCUCCGUCAGAGAGAGGGGGAUGCUGGGAACAGCCUCAGAGGAACAGAUGCCAGCCACACCCAUCAGCGCGUUCUGGGAGCAGGUCGUCAGAAAUGCUGGGAACACCUCUCUGGGAGAGGCAUGCUGGGAUCACGUCGUCCGAGUGAAGAAGGCCGGAAAUGUGAGGUCCAGUCUCAUGAACUCCGCAGUGAAUUCCUUUCCAUGACUGAAAUACCUUGAGCAAAAGAAGCUGCCAGCAACUGCCAUCAAGGGAGGGUUGUAGAAAUGACAGAAAGAGAGGUUGACUGUCUGAGCCAGGUGAGGCAAUAGGUGGGCCUUCUGAUGAUGGAGAAAUGGUGAGAACAAGGUGAAUGGGGGUAGCUGCAGGAAUGUGAGUGUCUCAGGAAACCGGGAAAUCUGCUCUUUAAUCUUCAUAGAGGACAUAGCAAAAUCCUAGUAAUUGUGGAAACAGGGAUCAUGCCUGUUAACUCACUGGUGUGACUCCACUGUCAGGCAUAGAGUUAUAAAUAUUGAAUAUUAAUUAAAAAGAUGGAAUAGAAUCCAAUUGGAGACAGACUGGACUGGGAGGGCACAAGUAAGCUGAAUUAAAUUGGGUGAUAAGUUGUGCAGGUAGUUCCCAUUUGUCUUGAAUACUGGAGCACAGGCCUGGCUUCUAGUUCCACCUUUGCUGUAUCUGACCAUGUGAUUUUGAAAGUCCAGGUAGCUUCUCCAGAGCUUAAUAUCUUCCUCUGCUAAACAACAACAACAAAAUAACAACAAAGAAUGAUCGAAUCGUUCAAUGAUUAAUCAUAACUUCCAGGCCUGAUACUGUAUUAUUAUUACUUUUUUUCUCAGAGAGACUUUCAAAAUGGCAGAUGCCCAGGGAGAGAAGGCAGACGGAGUGUGUUAAAAUGUGAUUAAAAAUAAUACAUAAAUGCAAUAAUUGAAAUUGGAAAUUCAAGCAUCAAUGAGGUCACUUGUCCAUAGGGGGAAGUGAGCUAUUAUAAAACAUAUCCCUGACUCUUCAUUAACAUUAACAUGAUUGAGAAUUUAUUUUUAAACCCAAGCAGUAUAUGAUUUUGCCUGUAAAUCUGCCUUGACGAAAUGAGAGCCUCAAGCAGGAACAGGGUUGAGAGAGCAUAAUAGCUUUGGGUGAGUUUAGUAGGUCUUACAGCUUAUGUGUUUGUUUGUUUCAUAUCUGCAAGAUCACUUGUCAGAAAUAAAAUUCCCCUAAGUCUCUCUCUCCA
ensembl:lncRNA